GACAGGUGCUGCAUGGCUGUCGUCAGCUCGUGUCGUGAGAUGUUGGGUUAAGUCCCGCAACGAGCGCAACCCUCGCCUUUAGUUGCCAGCAUUCAGUUGGGCACUCUAGAGGGACUGCCGGUGUCAAACCGGAGGAAGGUGGGGAUGACGUCAAGUCCUCAUGGCCUUUGUGUCUAGGGCUACACACGUACUACAAUGGCCGGUACAAAGGGCAGCCACUCAGCGAUGAGGCGCUAAUCCCAUAAAGCCGGUCUCAGUUCGGAUUGGGGUCUGCAACUCGACCCCAUGAAGUCGGAGUCGCUAGUAAUCGCAGAUCAGCAACGCUGCGGUGAAUACGUUCCCGGGCCUU
rnacentral:rRNA from 1 species